GAGGAAGAGGAGGCUGCAGUUACCCCUGGACCAUAUGGUGUCUGGAGAAUGUAUCCUGUGUUUGUGUGUGCCUGUAUCCAGUGUUGCCAAAUGACCAAACGUGCAGGGUGUCAUUUGGACUCUGGAAACGUCCUUGCAGCAGAGAGUGAUGGCAGCUUUUCUAAAGCUUGGCAAUUGGCCUCCCCAUGAGUCAGUGGAGAGAUACUUAUUGUGUUUUCAUUGUUCAAUAAGACUUUGCAUGAAUUUCUUCCACCUCUUAGCUUACUGAGCCAAAAGCUCCCUAAACGCCAAAGUCUUCAUUAAGGCCGUGGAAAGAGUGGCUGGCUCGAGGUCACCCCUGAUGUUUCGCUGGCUACCUGGGGAAGACUGGAUUUAGAAAGCUACUGCAGUCACAGGCCAUGGCAACCAACUGUGCUGAAUGACUUCAAUCUCCUUUAUAAGUUUGGCAACAGAUUAACAAUGUUGUAAACACUGCUUGGGACAGGAUGUUGGGGAAAUAAACAAGUUCUUUCAGAUUCUCAUACACUGCUGUGGCUGAUACUCA